UACGAAGGGGGCGAGCGUUGUUCGGAAUUACUGGGCGUAAAGGGCGCGCAGGCGGCUCUGAAAGUCAGAUGUGAAAGCCCCGGGCUUAACCUGGGAAUUGCAUUUGAUACUCUGGAGCUUGAGUACGGGAGAGGAGAGUGGAAUUCCCAGUGUAGAGGUGAAAUUCGUAGAUAUUCGGAAGAACACCAGUGGCGAAGGCGGCUUACUGGUCCGGUACUGACGCUGAGGUGCGAAAGCGUGGGGAGCAAACAGG
rnacentral:rRNA from 1 species